GACAGAGGGUGCGAACGUUGCUCGGAAUUACUGGGCGUAAAGCGUGUGCAGGCGGUCGCGUACGUCGGAUGUGAAAGCCCGGGGCUCAACCCCGGAAGUGCACCCGAUACGGCGCGACUGGAGUGGCGGAGAGGAGCGCGGAAUUCCCGGUGUAGAGGUGAAAUUCGUAGAUAUCGGGAGGAACACCAGUGGCGCAGGCGGCGCUCUGGACGCACACUGACGCUGAGACACGAAAGCGUGGGGAGCAAACAG
rnacentral:rRNA from 1 species